AUUGAACGCUGGCGGCAGGCCUAACACAUGCAAGUCGAGCGGGGUUUUCGGACCUAGCGGCGGACGGGUGAGUAAUGCGUAGGAAGCUGCCCGAUAGAGGGGGAUACCAGUUGGAAACGACUGUUAAUACCGCAUAAUGUCUACGGACCAAAGUGUGGGACCCUCGGGCCACAUGCUGUCGGAUGCGCCUACGUGGGAUUAGCUAGUUGGUGAGGUAAUGGCUCACCAAGGCGACGAUCCCGAGCUGGUUUGAGAGGAUGAUCAGCCACACGGGAACUGAGACACGGUCCAGACGCCUACGGGAGGCAGCAGUGGGGAAUAUUGGACAAUGGGCGCAAGCCUGAUCCAGCCAUGCCGCGUGUGUGAAGAAGGCCUUCGGGUUGUAAAGCACUUUCAGUAGGGAGGAAGAGUUGAGUGUUAAUAGUACUCAGCUUUGACGUUACCUACAGAAGAAGCACCGGCUAACUCUGUGCCAGCAGCCGCCGUAAAAC
rnacentral:rRNA from 1 species